rnacentral:rRNA from 1 species
AGUGAACGCUGGCGGUAGGCCUAACACAUGCAAGUCGAACGGCAGCACAGGAGAGCUUGCUCUCUGGGUGGCGAGUGGCGGACGGGUGAGGAAUACAUCGGAGUCUACUCUGUCGUGGGGGAUAACGUAGGGAAACUUACGCUAAUACCGCAUACGACCUACGGGUGAAAGCAGGGGACCUUCGGGCCUUGCGCGAUUGAAUGAGCCGAUGUCGGAUUAGCUAGUUGGCGGGGUAAAGGACCACCAAGGCGACGAUCCGUAGCUGGUCUGAGAGGAUGAUCAGCCACACUGGAACUGAGACACGGUCCAGACUCCUACGGGAGGCAGCAGUGGGGAAUAUUGGACAAUGGGCGCAAGCCUGAUCCAGCCAUACCGCGUGGGUGAAGAAGGCCUUCGGGUUGUAAAGCCCUUUUGUUGGGAAAGAAAUCCAGCUGGCUAAUACCCGGUUGGGAUGACGGUACCCAAAGAAUAAGCACCGGCUAACUUCGUGCCAGCAGCCGCCGUAA